UUCCGGUUGAUCCUGCCGGACCCUACUGCUAUCGGGGUGGGGCUAAGACAUGCAAGUCGUGCGUCUCUGGCUAUGGGGAGACGCGGCAUACGGCUCAGUAACACGUGGCUAACCUAACCUUAGGACGGAAACAACCCUGGGAAACUGGGGCUAAUAUCCGAUAGGCGAGGAAGACUGAAAUGCCUCUUCACCUAAAAGAUGUUGGAACCAUGCUUUUCAACGUUGCCUAAGGAUGGGGCCGCGACCGAUCAGGUUGUUGGUGAGGUAACGGCUCACCAAGCCUAUAACCGGUACGGGCUGUGAGAGCAGAAGCCCGGAGAUGGGCACUGAGACAAGGGCCCAGGCCCUACGGGGCGCAGCAGUUGCGAAAACUCCGCAAUGCGCGAAAGCGUGACGGGGCUACCCCGAGUGCCAUCCGCUGAGGAUAGCUUUUUCCCGGUGUAAGGAGCCGGGUGAAUAAGGAGAGGGUAAGUCUGGUGUCAGCCGCCGCGGUAAUACCAGCUCUCCGAGUGGUGGGGACGAUUAUUGGGCUUAAAGCGUUCGUAGCCGGCCUAGCAGGUCUUCCGUUAAAUCCAACGAUCUAAUCGUUGGGCCGCGAGAGAUACUGUUAGGCUAGGGGGCGGGAGAAGCCGACGGUACUCUUGGGGUAGGGGUGAAAUCUUAUAAUCCCGAGAGGACCACCAGUGGCGAAGGCUGUUGGUUAGAACGCGCUCGACGGUGAGGGACGAAGGCUGGGGGAGCGAACCGGAUUAGAUACCCGGGUAGUCCCAGCAGUAAACGAUGCGGGCUAGGUGUUGGAGCGGUUACGAACCGCUUCAGUGCCGCAGGGAAACUGUUAAGCCCGCCGCCUGGGAAGUACGGCCGCAAGGCUGAAACUUAAAGGAAUUGGCGGGGGAGCACCACAAAGGGUGAAGCUUGCGGUUCAAAUGGAGUCAACGCCGG
rnacentral:rRNA from 1 species